rnacentral:rRNA from 1 species
CCUACGGGACGCAGCAGUGAGGAAUAUUGGUCAAUGGACGAGAGUCUGAACCAGCCAAGUAGCGUGAAGGAUGACUGCCCUAUGGGUUGUAAACUUCUUUUAUAUGGGAAUAAAAUGUGCCACGUGUGGGAUUUUGUAUGUACCAUAUGAAUAAGGAUCGGCUAACUCCGUGCCAGCAGCCGCGGUAAUACGGAGGAUCCGAGCGUUAUCCGGAUUUAUUGGGUUUAAAGGGAGCGUAGGUGGAUUGUUAAGUCAGUUGUGAAAGUGUGCGGCUCAACCGUAAAAUUGCAGUUGAAACUGGCAGUCUUGAGUACAGUAGAGGUGGGCGGAAUUCGUGGUGUAGCGGUGAAAUGCUUAGAUAUCACGAAGAACUCCGAUUGCGAAGGCAGUUCACUGGACUGCAACUGACACUGAGGCUCGAAAGUGUGGGUAUCAAACAGGAUUAGAUACCCGAGUAGUC